rnacentral:rRNA from 1 species
GGGCCCGCACAAGCGGUGGAGCAUGUGGUUUAAUUCGAUGAUACGCGAGGAACCUUACCAGGGCUUAAAUGCAGAACGACAGAGGUGGAAACACCUCCUUCUUCGGACGGUCUGCAAGGUGCUGCAUGGUUGUCGUCAGCUCGUGCUGUGAAGUGUCGGGUUAAGUCCCAUAACGAGCGCAACCCCUAUUUCUAGUUGCCAGCGGUUCGGCCGGGGACUCUAGAGAAACUGCCAGCGUAAGCUGUGAGGAAGGUGGGGAUGACGUCAAAUCAUCACGGCCCUUACGUCCUGGGCUACACACGUGCUACAAUGGUAGGGACAGAGGGCUGCAAACCAGCGAUGGGAGCUAAUCCGACAAACCUAGUCGUAGUCCGGAUUGGAGUCUGCAACUCGACUCCAUGAAGUCGGAAUUGCUAGUAAUCG